GCCGCGGGUUCCAACCCUGCAGAAGGAACGGGGCGGAGCGGGCUCCGCUUGUUCCCACACGCACAGCUUCCCCUUUCCCUGUUUUAAUCUUCUUAAUGCUUAAAGUAGCAAGAGUGGUUUCUUUUUCCUGCAGAUGGACCCUCCUUUAUACAGGUAGGGAGAGAAGAGGGCGCCCAGGAUAGCGUCCAGAGGAACACCAGCACUUACUGUAGGCAGGGAGGAGGAGGAUCCAGAAGAGAGAUCGGAGAAGGAGCAUCUAAGAGGAGGGGAGAACCCAGGGAAGUUUCAAGCACACCAUGGUUAACAACGUCAUUCUCGACUGCUGCCAGGAAGCAGAGCACCGGCUCCGGACGCGCAAGCUCCGCUCACAGGCCCAGCCGCUCCGUGGCGGCAUAUGGGAUCCUCCCGGACCGGGAGCACGAACCCAUGUCCCCUGCAUCGGCAGGCGGACUCCCAACCACUGCGCCACCAGGGAAGCCCUGUUGACCACUUCAGUAUGUCCCCCUAAACAGUCUACUGCUCAGUCUGCUCGUACUUGAGCUUGACGAAAUGGCAUCGUCCUGCUCGUAGUCCUACGCAGGGGACGCGGGUAGCAUCGUGCCAUCCUUGCUAGUCUGGUGGUGAGCCUUCCGCGACCCCUGGUUUCACUCUCCCCUUGGCAGAUGUCAGUGCUCCCUACCAUCCCUGUUUGCCGGGAGGCUUUUCAUGACCUACGAACGCAAGAUGUCUCAGGGGCCGUGGCAGACGGCACCGUCGCUCACAGUGAUUCAGUCUCCCCCUUCCCUUAGGAGCACCCCUCCUUGCCCGUUGCCAGGCAGGAGACACACUGGAAGAGACAGGUUCCAGGGCACCCCACCGUAGCUGGGAUCCGGGGAUCAGGAGAUCACCAGGGGCCCUGUGGGAGUGUUACAACACCCGCACAGCAAGUGACUAGGCACUGGAACAUUGCUGCUGAAACACUGAACUCCAUACUGUGCUGGGUGUGAGACAGGUGAAGGGGUGGGAAGGGCGCCACCGCCUCACCCCUGCAUCCCACAUCAUCUGAAGUGUGUCCCCAGGCAAGGUGGAGUCCACACCCUGAGCCUGCUCACCCAGACCACCGCUCAGCCCUCCCAGGCUUGCCUUCCCCCCACACUCCUUGCCCCCCACCCCUACGCUGGCCAAAAAAAGAAAAGUUGCAAAAUCCAGGUGUACAGCGCAAUGACUUAACACAGCAAACACUCCCUUGGCAUCAUCGAAGUCAAGAACUCAAAUGUCUACCUCCCCAAAUCCCCUCAUCCCCCUCCCAUCACUUCCUUCUCCCUUCCACCAAAGUGACCACAAACCUGACUUUUGUGGUAAUCUCUUUGGUUUUUAUAAUUUUACCAAUUGUGUCAGUCCGUCCAGGAUGCUAUGACAAAGUACCACAGACUGUGGCGUUUAUAAACAGCAGAAAUUUAUUGCUCACAGUUCCCGAGGCUGGAAGUCAGAAAUUAGGGUACCAUCAGGGUGGGGGAAGGCCCUCUUCCAGGUUGCAGACUUAUUGUAUCCUCACUGGUGGAAGGGGUGAGGGAACUCUCUGGAGCUUCUUUUAUAAGGGCACUAAUCCCAUCAUGAGGACCUCACCCCCAUGACCUCAUGACCUAAGCACCUCCCACAGGCCCCACCUCCUAAUACCAUUAGGGGAUUAGGUUUCAGUGAAUUUGUGGGGGGACACAAACAUCCAGGCCAUCGCAUGAGAUAAGCAGGCAUCCCUCAAUAUGAGGAUUUUGUUUUGUCUGUUUUCGGACUUUAUAUAAAUGGAAUUAUUCAGUA